rnacentral:rRNA from 1 species
AGAGGAUGAUCAGCCACACUGGAAGUGAGACACGGUCCAGACUCCUACGGGAGGCAGCAGUAGGGAAUAUUGGACAAUGGGCGCAAGCCUGAUCCAACCAUGCCGCGUGAGUGAAGAAGGCCCUCGGGUUGUAAAGCUCUUUUGUCCGGAAAGAAAAGCAUCGGGUUAAUACCCCGGUGUUCUGACGGUACCGGAAGAAUAAGCACCGGCUAACUUCGUGCCAGCAGCCGCGGUAAUACGAAGGGUGCAAGCGUUACUCGGAAUUACUGGGCGUAAAGCGUGCGUAGGUGGUUCGUUAAGUCCGAUGUGAAAGCCCUGGGCUCAACCUGGGAAUGGCAUUGGAUACUGGCGGGCUAGAGUGCGGUAGAGGAUAGUGGAAUUCCUGGUGUAGCAGUGAAAUGCGUAGAGAUCAGGAGGAACACCCGUGGCGAAGGCGACUGU